UAAGGAAAAAUGCCUAAAAUUCUCCCUAAUCCAUACUUGUAGUAUAAUAAUCUCAUCUCAAACAAACAUGAUGGUUUCCAGUCGAUACAAUUCUACUGGGUUGAAGUGCUCCCAUCGCUGUUCAAUCCAACGACUGAAAUCAACCGGUCGGAUUGCGCGAACCGUCCGUGUGACGACCCGGUUUCGGUACAACUUAACCUUACAAGGUGGUGAAGGACCAGAAGAACGGGAACGCCGUGAUAUACUUCCGUUCCGCCCCACGUCGGUUAACCCGACCCGGGGUCUGAAGCCCUAGCGGCCGGAGGGCGCAAAGUUCGUCUCGUCCCUGAUCGCGUUGUGCGCCUGCCUCGACGAGGUAGAAGUUUGAUGGAGCCUUCCUUAUUUGCAUCUUCCCCUGAUAAAUCAGAAUUGGAUCUUAAGUCAUCAUUUAGAAAACCCACAAAUGAUGCAACUAGUCGCAAGUAUCGACGCCAUUCACCUGUUGGUAGAUCAGAUUCAUCUUCAUCUGGUGGCAGCCCUAACUUCACCCAAGGGAAGUUCAUACUAGGACACCUGAUGAUCAGCAGAGAAAGGAAGCUGGAAGAGAAUCAUAAAGGGAUUCUGGUAGUAUUAGGUCCAGUAGAGGACAUGAUUCUCGGAAGCAUGCUGCGAGGCAUUCACAUGCAAAUUCCCAUGACUACAGGAGGCAUGAUGAUUAUAGCAGGCAUCGCAGGCAGUUGAUGAGAAUAAUAGGAAUUAUCAGAUGUCAUCUGGGGCUGGUCGAGAAUCAAGGGACUAUCGUCACUCUGAUGACACAGAAAGUGAGAGAAUAUCUGAUGAAAACCGAGAUAAUCGGUGAAAUGUUGACAAUCAUUCUAAAGAAAAAACUGAUAUUUCAGAGCAUAAGAACAAGAAAAAGGAAAGAGAACCUGAUAAAGACUAUGACAGAGAUAUCAGUGCCAGACGACUGAAGGAAAGCGAAAAAAGUAAUAAGAAGGAUUUCCAUGGUCAGGAGGAUCUGGUCUUAAAGAGGAAGUAUAUUGGAAGGGAAGUUGACAGCACAGGGAGAAAUAUACCAGGGUAAGAGAAGAAUUUCAGACAGAAAAACAAAGUUUCAGUCACUGAGAAAGAGAUGGAAAGAAUGAAAAAAAAUGUUGAUAAAGCCUCAGAUUUGAUAAACAGGGAUUCAUCCAUAGAGGUUAAUGCUGUAGGUGACGUGCCAUCAUCAAGUUCAAGGCAGGAUAAGCAAAAUAUUUAUGAGAAUAGAAAAUAUUUGGUUCUGAUUUAUUUGUAUGGCUUCUAUGUACUAAUGGUAUGGAAAAGGAAAAAAGGGGAAUAAUAAAGAAAUGCCAUGAUAACAAGAAAGAGAGUUUCGCUUGCUUGAGGAAUUGAAGAACCCUUAAUAAAGUUCUGUUGGGCCAUCAUGGAUCAUUUGAGAAUCUUAGGUUAUCUCGGAAUUUUUUCUUGUUAGGCUUACUUUGAUUACCUGUGCAGUUAAUAGGAACCUUGUAGGGUUUGGAGGGGUCGGAUUCUUGUCUACUGACCAAAAGAAAAAGCUCCUUUGGGGUAAUAAAAAGAACAAUCCUACAGAAGAGUCCUCCAGUCGUUGGGACUUGCAUCUGUUUCAAGACCUGGAGCGCCAGGAAAAGUUCAACAGACUCAUGAGCCUGAGCUUGCCUUUGCGGCUAUGGCCAAUUGUAGGGCGUGAAGGGAACCGUGGCUCCUCCAGAGAACGGACUGACGACAAAGAUGGAAGCCUCCAAGCAAAGAAAACAGGAGGAGCUCGAUACGGAUCUGGAGAGGCAAUAUACUGUUUGUGUUCGGGGUCUUGGCUUGUGAUGACAUGACACAUCAAGGAGAAAAUGUCCGAGCAUCUGAAUGCACAAGUCAUGCGAUAAUGGACACGAGACGAAUGCUAGUAUCUCAGCCCGGACUCGCUCUUGGCAACGUACAGCGCCGACGACGCUACGGAAAGAAGCGCAUCAGAGACUCUAAUUUGUUGCCUUGGAAUUCCGAAGAACACGAGAGAAAAAACACAAAAGGAAAUCCAACAAUCGAUCACGGCCUCAGAAGAAAGAUAUAGCAUCAGAGAGUCGGCGGCAUCACCGGAUCUCAGAUGGUACGGACAAUACCAUCGCAUCAUCGGCCGAUUGGAGGAACGAAACGGCUGAAGCAAGAAAGAUCUCGAUCGGUUUCCUUAGGGUUUUCGAAGCGGAGGAGGCAGAAAAGAGACGAUGUCAGCUCGCGGCUCCGUUUGAUCUUAUAUAGGGGGGGCAGGGAAGAAACCCGAACCCUAAAUUUUGAGUGCGUAAUGACGUGAAUACCCUCUUGAUUGGUUAAGCGAA